UGAACAGGUAGGUCAUGGCUGUACGUUCUCUCUGUCUCUCCCUCCCUUUGUCUCUCUCUGUCUAUCUCUGUCUUUCUCUUGUCUAUCUGUCUCUGUCUCUGUUUUCCUUAUUUGUCACCUUCACGCUUUCACAGGUGAGGGAACAGGUAGGUCAUGGGUAUACGUUCUCUCUGUCUCUCCCUCCCUCUGUCUGUCUCUGUCUCUAUCUCUGCCCCUUACUCUUUUCUGUUUCUGUCUCUGUUUUCCUUAUUUGUUACCUUCACUCUUUACAGGUGAAUGAACAGGUAGGUCAUGGCUGUACGUUCUCUCUGUCUCUCCCUCCCUCUGUCUGUCUCUGUCUCUAUCUCUGUCCCUUGCCCUUGUCUGUCUCUGUCUCUGUCUGUUUUCCUUAUUUGUCACCUUCACUCUUUUACAGGUGAGGGAACAGGUAGGUCAUGGUUAUUCGUUCCCUCUGUCUCUCCCUCCCUCUGUCUGUCUGUUUCUAUCUGUCCCUUAUACUUGUCUUUCUCUGUCUGUUUUCCUUAUUUGUCACCUUCACUCUUUUACAGGUGAGGGAACAGGUAGGUCAUGGUUAUUCGUUCCCUCUGUCUCUCCCUCCCUCUGUCUGUCUCUGUCCCUUACUCUUUUCUGUCUCUGUCUCUGUUUUCCUUAUUUGUCACCUUCACGCUUUUACAGGUGAGGGAACAGGUAGGUCAUGGCUAUACGUUUUCUCUGUCUCUCCCUCCUACUGUCUGUCUUUUUCUAUCUCUGUCCUAUUAUUCUUAUCUAUCUCUGUCUGUUUUCCUUAUUCGUCACCUUCAC